UACGUAGGGUGCAAGCGUUGUCCGGAAUUAUUGGGCGUAAAGGGCUCGUAGGCGGCCUGUCGCGUCGGGAGUGAAAGCCCACUGCUUAACGGUGGGUCUGCUUUCGGUACGGGCGGGCUAGAGUAUGGCAGGGGAGACUGGAAUUCCUGGUGUAGCGGUGGAAUGCGCAGAUAUCAGGAGGAACACCGGUGGCGAAGGCGGGUCUCUGGCCAUUACUGACGCUGAG
rnacentral:rRNA from 1 species